AUAAAACUUCAGACUGUGACUUGUACUCCAUCUUGGCUGUGAUAGAAGCCAAGAAACAACACCGAUUGAAGUAUACUUGACAGCAGUACCCAAUUGAAAGAUGUUGAAUAUGAAGAGCAUGGCCCACCAAGAGAGUUGUGCACAUUGUAGAUGCACUCAAGUCACAGUCUGAAUAGGAAGUGCUAGUAUGUGGUACCAGUUGCUAAUGUCCCUGGUUUUGUCUAUGCUAUAGACAAACCCAGUGGAUUAAAAACUGAUUUGAGCCACUCACUCAUAAAACUUCAGACUGUGACUUGUACUCCAUCUUGGCUGUGAUAGAAGCCAAGAAACAACACCGAUUGAAGUAUACUUGCCAGCAGUACCCAAUUGAAAGAUGUUGAAUAUGGUGAGCAUGGCCCACCAAGAGAGGUGUGCACAUUGUAGAUGCACUCAAGUCACAGUCUGAAUAGACUGUGACUUGUACUCCAUCUUGGCUGUGAUAGAAGCCAAGAAACAACACCGAUUGAAGUAUACUUGCCAGCAGUACCCAACUGGAAGGUGUUGAAUAUGAAGAGCAUGGCCCACCAAGAGAGGUGUGCACAUUGUAGAU